GUCAGGAUGGCCGAGUGGUCUAAGGCGUCAGACUCAAGCUCUGAAUGGAGGCGUGGGUUCGAAUCCCACUUCUGACA